ACGUACGCUGGCGGCGUGCUUAACGCAUGCAAGUCGAACGGAAAGGCCCUGCUUUUGUGGGGUGCUCGAGUGGCGAACGGGUGAGUAACACGUGAGUAACCUGCUCUUGACUUUGGGUUAACUUCAGGAAACUGGGGCUAAUACCGGAUAGGAGCUCCUGCUGCAUGGUGGGGGUUGGAAAGUUUCGGCGGUUGGGGAUGGACUCGCGGCUUAUCAGCUUGUUGGUGGGGUAGUGGCUUACCAAGGCUUUGACGGGUAGCCGGCCUGAGAGGGUGACCGGCCACAUUGGGACUGAGAUACGGCCCAGACUCCUACGGGAGGCAGCAGUGGGGACUAUUGCACAAUGGGCGGAAGCCUGAUGCAGCAACGCCGCGUGCGGGAUGACGGCCUUCGGGUUGUAAACCGCUUUCGCCUGUGACGAAGCGUGAGUGACGGUAAUGGGUAAAGAAGCACCGGCUAACUACGUG
rnacentral:rRNA from 1 species